CCUACGGGAGGCAGCAGUGAGGAAUUUUCCACAAUGGGGGCAACCCUGAUGGAGCAACGCCGCGUGCAGGAGGACGCUUUUCGGAGUGUAAACUGCUUUUCCCAGGGACGAGAGAGGACGGUACCUGGGGAACAAGCCCCGGCUAACUACGUGCCAGCAGCCGCGGUAAUACGUAGGGGACGAGCGUUGUCCGGAGUUACUGGGCGUAAAGCGCCCGCAGGCGGUCCGCUCAGUUCGCGCUGACAGCUCCUGGCUUAACUGGGAGAGCGGUGCGAAGACGGGCGGACUGAGAGGGCCAGAGAGGGACAUGGAACUCCGGGUGUAGUGGUGAAAUGCGUAGAUAUCCGGAAGAACACCAAAGGCGAAGGCAGUGUCCUGGCUGGUACCUGACGCUCGGGGGCGAAAGCUAGGGGAGCGAACGGGAUUAGAUACCCUAGUAG
rnacentral:rRNA from 1 species